AAAAAAAAAGCGACACCAGUUGACCUGAGUGGAAGGGACUGUGAAUAAUGAGAUUUAGAAAAAGACAGACUAGCCCGUGGAAGAUUUGAAAGGUCAGGUGUGAAAGUGUAGCCUUUAUCCAGGAGGUUCCUCUUAGGAAUCUUGGAUAGAUUUUAAGGAACAGAAUGUCAGGGCAGAUUUAUAUUUUUAGAUCCCUCUAGCAGUUGGUGGAAGGAUGGCUUGGGAUUGGGAGUAAAAAUGGAGGCAGAGAGACCCAUAAGGAGACUGUGAAGACCAGGUAACCGAUGCUGAGGCUUGAACCUGGGCACAAGGGAACGUGCGAUGGAGGCCACACAGGUAGAACUCACCAAAGAUUGGAUUUCCUGGCCUGGGAAGUCUGUGCCUCUUAACCAGCAGGAAGGCCCAAGGUCCAGGCAGAGACUUGGCCGGCAGGAGGGCAUGAGAUCCGGGGCUGAGGAGGGUCAAUGAGGGCUGUGGCCACCCCCCUUCCUCUCCAGGAACUACUAUAAUGUCUCCAGGGAUCCUGUGGUCAUCAACAAAGUCUUCAAGGACUGGAAGCCUGGGGGUGUCAUCAGCUGCAGGAACUGUGGGGAGGUCUGGGGUCUGCAGAUGAUCUACAAGUCAGUGAAGCUGCCAGUGCUCAAAGUCCGCAGCAUGCUGCUGGAGACCCCUCAGGGGCGGAUCCAGGCCAAAAAGUGGUCCCGCGUGCCCUUCUCCGUGCCUGACUUUGACUUCCUGCAGCAUUGUGCCGAGAACUUGUCGGACCUCUCCCUGGACUGACCACCUCAUUGCUGCAGUGCCCGGUUUGGGCUGUAGGGGGCGGGAGAGUCUGCAGCAGACUCCAGGCCCCUCCUUCCUGAAUCAUCAGCUGUGGGCAUCAGGCCCACCAGCCACACAGGAGUCCUGGGCACCCUGGCUUAGGCUCCCGCAAUGGGAAAACA
rnacentral:lncRNA from 1 species